rnacentral:lncRNA from 1 species
CUUUCCAUCCUCCUCAUUCGUCUAGGGGCACCCGAAUCCCCUAUUCCUUAUUUCCCGUAUCAAUCAGGCACUGGCAGCGUCCUUUGCUACUCCUGUUGGCCGCCGCGGCUCCAAAGCGAGAUGUGCCUGAGACAGGUUUGACCAGGCAACUGAAAAGAUAUCCCUAAGAGAAGACAAAGCAAAGGUAUGAAAGGAACACACGUCCCUGACUGACUAGGAGGAACAGAGCUGCCUGCUGUCUGGAACCGCUUCCUCCCAGACUAAGUGAGAAAUAAACUUCUGUUUUCUAUA